rnacentral:rRNA from 1 species
UACGUAGGGAGCAAGCGUUGUCCGGAAUCAUUGGGCGUAAAGCGCGCGUAGGCGGCCUUGUAAGUCCGUUGUGAAAGUCGAAGGCUCAACCUUCGAAAGCGGGUGGAUACUGCAGGGCUAGAGUCCGGAAGAGGCGAGUGGAAUUCCUGGUGUAGCGGUGGAAUGCGCAGAUAUCAGGAGGAACACCAACGGCGAAGGCAGCUCGCUGGGACGGUACUGACACUGAGGCGCGAAAGCGUGGGGAGCGAACAGG